CGGGGAGUGGCGCAGUCUGGUAGCGCACCUGCUUUGGGAGCAGGGGGUCGGAGGUUCGAAUCCUCUCUCCCCGACCA
rnacentral:tRNA from 1 species